rnacentral:rRNA from 1 species
AUUGAACGCUGGCGGCAGGCUUAACACAUGCAAGUCGAGCGGGGUGAUGGUGCUUGCACUAUCACUUAGCGGCGGACGGGUGAGUAAUGCUUAGGAAUCUGCCUAUUAGUGGGGGACAACAUCUCGAAAGGGAUGCUAAUACCGCAUACGUCCUACGGGAGAAAGCAGGGGAUCACUUGUGACCUUGCGCUAAUAGAUGAGCCUAAGUCGGAUUAGCUAGUUGGUGGGGUAAAGGCCUACCAAGGCGACGAUCUGUAGCGGGUCUGAGAGGUGGAUCCGCCACACUGGGACUGAGACACGGCCCAGAAUCCUACGGGAGGCAGCAGUGGGGAAUAUUGGACAAUGGGGGGAACCCUGAUCCAGCCAUGCCGCGUGUGUGAAGAAGGCCUUAUGGUUGUAAAGCACUUUAAGCGAGGAGGAGGCUCUUUUGGUUAAUACCCAAGAUGAGUGGACGUUACUCGCAGAAUAAGCACCGGCUAACUCUGUGCCAGCCGCCGCCGUAA